rnacentral:rRNA from 1 species
CGUUCCUUUUUUUGGGGGUGGGGUUAGUGGCGAACGGGUGAGUAACACGUGAGUAACCUGCCCCUCACUUCUGGAUAACCGCUUGAAAGGGUGGCUAAUACGGGGUGUUCUGGCCUGCUCGCAUGGGUGGGUUUGGAAAGAUUCGACCGGUUUUGGUUGUUUUGGUGGGGGAUGGGCUCGCGGCCUAUCAGCUUGUUGGUGGGGUGAUGGCCUGCCAAGGCUUUGACGGGUAGCCGGCCUGAGAGGGUGGGCGGUCACACUGGGACUGAGACACGGCCCAGACUCCUACGGGAGGCAGCAGUGGGGAAUCUUCGGCAAUGGACGAAAGUCUGACCGAGCAACGCCGCGUGAGUGAAGAAGGUUUUCGGAUCGUAAAGCUCUGUUGUAAGUCAAGAACGUGUGUGAGAGUGGAAAGUUCACACAGUGACGGUAGCUUACCAGAAAGGGACGGCUAACUAC